UAUUUAAUUCUUAUGAAUUCGUGCGUUUCGUCUUGUUCAUGCCAAGUUUGUCCAACAUGAUAUAAUGCAUACCAUAUAAUGGAAGAAGUGUUUUCUGAAUUGAUGUGUAUAAUAUCUUUAAA
rnacentral:sRNA from 1 species